CACGCAUCGACCUGGUAUUGCAG
rnacentral:piRNA from 3 species